GUCUCUCCUCCCCAGUGGCUUACUGCUGCUCUGGCUGGAUGCCACCCUCUGCCAGGCGGGGGUGGAGGGCUAGCUUCACUGGUCAGCCAUACUCCUGCGUGUGCCACAUCGAGAUCUCAAGAACCCCUUCAUUCUCCCGGGAUAUUGUAGUUGGAGACCAGGAACAGCACUGCACCCAUGAGACACAACUCUGGGAUCUGGCCCCAGGACCACCUGCACACCUAAGAGUGGAUUGAAUUACAACACGGACACAUCCACACAGAGCAGUUGCUCUUUGAAGCUGGUGUGCACAUACCUGCCCUGCCUCUCCUUUGCACCCUUCACAGUUUCACGCCAUUCCUGCAGCUACAGGGGCCCCACUGGCCUGUGAGCAGCUGGAAAGCUCUCUGGCCCAGUAUGUGCACCUCACCUGAUGCUUAUGGAAGCCACACAGCACAUGUGCGCACUAAUAAACAGGAAAGCACCUCCCCCAGGAUUGCUCUAGGCCUCAAAGGGAUUGAUCAGAUCCUCGCAGCAGUGCGGGCCUUCCUGACAUUGCGGCAUGAUUUCUGUUUCCUGUGUUCUCCCAUUAAAACUGGGAUUCCUCAAUAGAAAGCGCUCAGCAGUGGAUGCUACAUCUCCAUAUCAGGACCAAGCUUGUCCUCCAGCCUGAAACAACUUGGAAACUGGCCACGACCUUUG